CCUACGGGAGGCAGCAGUGGGGGAUAUUGCACAAUGGGGGAAACCCUGAUGCAGCGACGCCGCGUGGGCGAAGAAGUAUUUCGGUAUGUAAAGCCCUAUCAGCAGGGAAGAAGAAAUGACGGUACCUGAGUAAGAAGCACCGGCUAAAUACGUGCCAGCAGCCGCGGUAAUACGUAUGGUGCAAGCGUUAUCCGGAUUUAUUGGGUUUAAAGGGUGCGUAGGCGGGUUAUCAAGUCAGCGGUAAAAUCGUGGAGCUCAACUCCAUCCAGCCGUUGAAACUGAUGAUCUUGAGUGGGCGAGAAGUAUGCGGAAUGCGUGGUGUAGCGGUGAAAUGCAUAGAUAUCACGCAGAACUCCGAUUGCGAAGGCAGCAUACCGGCGCCCGACUGACGCUGAAGCACGAAAGCGUGGGUAUCGAACAGGAUUAGAUACCCGUGUAGUC
rnacentral:rRNA from 1 species